rnacentral:rRNA from 1 species
GUGGGGAAUAUUGCACAAUGGGCGGAAGCCUGAUGCAGCAACGCCGCGUGCGGGAUGACGGCCUUCGGGUUGUAAACCGCUUUCAGCAGGGACGAAGCGUGAGUGACGGUACCUGCAGAAGAAGCACCGGCUAACUACGUGCCAGCAGCCGCGGUGAUACGUAGGGUGCGAGCGUUGUCCGGAUUUAUUGGGCGUAAAGAGCUUGUAGGCGGUUGGUUGCGUCGAAAGUGCAAACUCAGGGCUUAACUCUGAGCCUGCUUUCGAUAAGGGCUGACUGGAGGAAGGUAGGGGAGAAUGGAAUUCCCGGUGGAGCGGUGGAAUGCGCAGAUAUCGGGAGGAACACCAGUGGCGAAGGCGGUUCUCUGGACCUUUCCUGACGCUGAGAAGCGAAAGCGUGGGGAGCAAACAGGCUUAGAUACCCGGGUAGUCC